CACCAACCUGCAGCCAUGGGGAAACUCAAGAGAACAGCUUUGUGAAAAGAGGAGAAGCACAAACACCCAAAAACUAAAUCAUGUGGCCAAGGCUGGACAGGGAGGCAUUAAUUUAACACAUUGCCUCUACAAAGAUCUGGUAUGAACUUUUGUAUAUUAGUAAUACUAAUCAUAACUCCCACAAAACUAAUAUUCGCU
rnacentral:lncRNA from 1 species